CCCAGACGAUAGCGAACAAGUAGAGUGAUCGAAAGAUGAAAAGCACUUUGAAAAGAGAGUUAAACAGCACGUGAAAUUGUUGAAAGGGAAGCGCUUGCGACCAGACUCGCCCGCGGGGUUCAGCCGGCAUUCGUGCCGGUGUACUAUCCCCGUGGGCGGGCCAGCGUCGGUUUGGGCGGCCGGUCAAAGGCCCCUGGAAUGUAGUACCCUCCGGGGUACCUUAUAGCCAGGGGUGCA
rnacentral:rRNA from 1 species